rnacentral:rRNA from 1 species
UACAGAGGGUGCGAGCGUUAAUCGGAAUUACUGGGCGUAAAGCGUGCGUAGACGGCUAUCUAAGUCGGGUGUGAAAGCCCCGGGCUCAACCUGGGAAUUGCAUUCGAGACUGAAUAGCUAGGGUACGGUAGAGGGAAGUGGAAUUUCCGGUGUAGCGGUGAAAUGCGUAGAUAUCGGAAGGAACAUCAGUUGCGAAGGCGGCUCUCUGGACCAGCACUGACACUGAGGCACGAAAGCGUGGGGAGCAAACAGG